AAAGGCGCCGUGUGUGCUGAGGAUAGAUGGCAGGUAUGAGAGAGGGCAGGAUGAAGCACAGGGGUGGAGGGGAGCAGAGAGACCUACAACAAAACCCACUCAAGGGUAGUAUUUUGCCUUUGAGUAACUGUCCCCAGCUCCAGUGCUGCAGGCACAUUGUUCCAGGGCCUCUGUGGUGCUCCUGAUGCCCCUCACCCACUGUCGAAGAUCCCCGGUGGGCGAGGGGGCGGCAGGGAUCCUUCUCUCUCAGCUCUAAUAUAUAAG
rnacentral:lncRNA from 1 species